rnacentral:misc_RNA from 1 species
UCUCCGUUGGUGAACCAGCGGAGGGAUUAUUACCAAGUUUACAACUCCCAAACCCCUGUGAACAUACCAUUUGUUGCCUCGGCGGUGCCUGCUUCGGCAGCCCGCCAGAGGACCCAAACCCUUGAUUUUAUACAGUAUCUUCUGAGUAAAUGAUUAAAUAAAUCAAAACUUUCAACAACGGAUCUCUUGGUUCUG